UACGUAGGAUGCAAGCGUUGUCCGGAUUUAUUGGGCGUAAAGAGUACGUAGGCGGUUUGUUAAGUCAGGGGUUAAAGACUGAGGCUCAACCUCAGGAGUGCCCUUGAUACUGGCAGGCUGGAGGACGGCAGAGGAAAGUGGAAUUCCCAGUGUAGCGGUGAAAUGCGUAGAUAUUGGGAGGAACACCAGUGGCGAAAGCGACUUUCUGGGCCGUUCCUGACGCUGAGGUACGAAAGCGUGGGGAGCAAACAGG
rnacentral:rRNA from 1 species